rnacentral:rRNA from 1 species
GACGAACGCUGGCGGCGUGCUUAACACAUGCAAGUCGAGCGGUAAGGCCCUUUCGGGGGUACACGAGCGGCGAACGGGUGAGUAACACGUGGGUGACCUGCCCUCAGCUCUGGGAUAAGCCUGGGAAACUGGGUCUAAUACUGGAUAUGACUCCACGGUGCAUGUCGUGGGGUGGAAAGCCUUGUGCGGCUGAGGAUGGGCCCGCGGCCUAUCAGCUUGUUGGUGGGGUGANGGCCUACCAAGGCGACGACGGGUAGCCGGCCUGAGAGGCGACCGGCCACACUGGGACUGAGACACGGCCCAGACUCCUACGGGAGGCAGCAGUGGGGAAUCUUGCGCAAUGGGCGAAAGCCUGACGCAGCGACGCCGCGUGAGGGAUGACGGCCUGGU